rnacentral:lncRNA from 1 species
AGUCGACUCCUACUUCAGUCGAGUCGACUCCAGCACGCUGGGAGGCAUAACGGCUAGUUUUUUUCUUGAUUCCAACGGCUCUAUUUUUGUCUCUAACGGCUAGAUUUUUGUUUCCACUCCCUCUAAAGCUAUAAAAUCAAGAGGAGAGCUAGGGAAGAAGGCAUGGAAGUGGGAGAGAACAUUUAGGGAAGAGAUUUCAAAGAGAUUACAAGGAAAAUCUCCCAAAAGCACAAAAGGGCCAUUCAAAGUAAAAGAGAGAGAAGAAGAACAUCCAAGUGAAUCCCAAAGCUUCCUCUUCAACUGUGUGCUGCCUCGGUGAUCCUCUACUUCGUGCAAAAUCAGAAGAGGGUCAAGUAAAGAAGAAGCCGAGUUCCUUCAUCUACAAAUUUGUUUGAGAGCUUCUUCUCUUUACUUUACUUGUUUAUAUUUGCUAUAUUUGCUUAUUUGAGAAGCUUGUAUUUGAUUUAAACUCUUGUUCUAAUAUCUUGUA